rnacentral:rRNA from 1 species
UGAUCUCAGAUCAUGUAAGAAAACCCGCUGAAUUUAAGCAUAUCAAUAAGCGGAGGA